UGGAAGCCUCCAUCGUGUUUAGUCAAAGCCUCCAUCGCGUUUUCCUCUUUCUCUCGCCAGUCGCAAUGAACCCAAUCCAAAUCGCUCUUGCUCUCACUUGAAUCAACAAAUUUCUCUCUCUCUCUCUCCUCGCAUACAAAUCCAAAACCAAAGAGAUAGAGAUACGUUCCCUUCUCAAAAUCUCAAACUUGCUAACGGUCGGUUUAUUGUUUUGAGAUCGAUCGGCUUUGGUGGAAUCUUGAAUCUCCAAUUGCUAGCCGGGUUCAAAUCUUCUUCAUUUGCCAGUCGGCUUUGGUGGAACUUGGUGUAUCCAAUUCUGGAAUUGGGCUCUGCUAUUGCAAAACACAGAGAGAGAUGGGUUGAGACUGGUUUGCUUCCCAGAAGGAGAGUACAAUACAUUUUUUUUUUUUUACAAAAUUUCUUCAAAUUCAUUCUGAAUAUUUGCAUGUCACUGAUUUUGGUUUGGGUGAUGCAGGCGUUGCUGAGAUUGUUAUUCAUUUUGAAAAUUUUGGAUUUUCAAAGGAGAUGAGGGCAGUGUGGAAACAAAUUGACUGAGGGGUACUGUUCGUGCUUCAGUUUGGGAUUUGAGUGAUUGAUUGGAGGAGGUUCAAGGUUGGUUUGAUGGGCAAGGAUGGUCACUCCAAAGGAAUCUUAAUUGAAUUACUGAAACUGCAAAUACUUACUCCAAAGGGUUUGAGCUAUGUUUUGACAGUUUCAAGGGCAACGGCAGCUUUGCUUCGGAAUCUUGAUCAUCGCAUCUCAAGCUAUUCAUCUGUGAUACAAAAGUCCGAGAUAGAGGAUGCAGAGGAAUGCUUGAAACUGUUUUCUAUGGACUAGGUGGCUAAAUUUAAUGAAAUGACCCUUGCCAAUGUAAACAGCUUCAAAAAGCGCUAAAAAAGCCAGUCACCUAAUGAAAUCCAAAAAGAAUAUAUAGCGGUGGAGAGAUCGGAAAGAUGGGCAGCUUGGAAGGUUAGUUCUACUUCUUUCGGGAAGGUUUUUUAUUUUUUAUUUUUCUUUUCUCUGUUCAUGAUUCUGAUUUUUGUACCCAUUUGAUUAGUUUACUGUUGAUUGUGUAGAAUGAAUUUAUGAGCAUUUUUGUGUAGUUUAUAAGCUUUUGUUGUGAAAAGAUUUGAACUUUGUUUGUUAGACAAAAACAGAGACUAUUGGAUAGUUUCAGAACAAAUGGGUUUGCUUUGUUUGGAGAAUAGGACUAUUCUUUUUCCAGUUUCUUACAAAUAUUUUCAUAUCCAUUGUCAGUGUUUAAGCAACUAUAUUGCUUAUCUCCAUUUGGU